rnacentral:rRNA from 1 species
AUUGAACGCUGGCGGCAGGCUUAACACAUGCAAGUCGAACGAGUGGCGGACGGGUGAGUAAUGUCUGGGAAACUGCCUGAUGGAGGGGGAUAACUACUGGAAACGGUCGCUAAUACCGCAUACCCUCAGAUGUGCCCAGAUGGGAUUAGCUAGUUGGUGGGGUAAUGGCUCACCAAGGCGCCGAUCCCUAGCUGGUCUGAGAGGGUGACUGGCCACACUGGAACUGAGGAGCGGUCCAGACUCCUGCGGGAGGCAGCAGUGGGGAAUAUUGCACAAGGGGCGCAAGCCUGAUGCAGCCAUGCCGCGUGUAUGAAGAAGGCCUUCGGGUGGUAAAGUACUUUCAGCGGGGAGGCGUUACCCGCAGAAGAAGCCCCGGCUAACUCCGUGCCAGCAGCCGCGGUAAUUC